AUUUAUAACUACAACAUGAGAUACCAUAGACGAGUCUAUCUUUGCGCAUUUCAACCAUUAUACACUAUGUUGAUCAUAUGGGUAUUUAUUACUGCAACUAAUUGUGCAGUACUAAAUGAGUUCAAGUGCUCUUUUCUUAUUGGUUGAGGUUUGUAUCCAGUUACAAAUCUAACUAACCUUGGCCAUAAAAUAGAAAUAGGCUUUGAACCAAACUAAAAAGAAAUAAAUUGUAUAAAGAAAACAGUAGCUAAUUAGUAGAGAAGUAACCUUGAAAUCCAAAAUAACUCAAAUCCAACCUUCCAAGAGGCAACAUCAACUACCUCCCAUUCAGCUUUCAUGAAAACUAAUAUAGCUAUGAACACUUGAUCAAUCACUAGCAUACAUCACUACAGACUUAUUUCUGGACUCAAUACUUGCUAAUUUGGUCCAUCAGUGACCAAAUGCACAACUACAACUAGUAUUUAACAAUGAAAGCCUGUGAUAAACCUCACUUAGACAGAACUUUGAAUACAAUUACUGACUAUGCAUGAGCAAACAUCGUACAGGGCCUAACAUAUGAAUGAUGGUUCAAACUUUAACACGUGAUGUUAAUGGAUCAGUUAGUGAUGGAUCUAGAUUAUUGGAUCUCUAUUAAUAAAAUAGAAAUCAUUCAACCUUGUAUGAAACCAACGAGCUGAACUGAAGGUUCAACAUAUGCAUACAAACACCAUAUCACCUCAACUAGUAACUAUAGCUGCUUAACCAAAACUGAUUGGGACAAAGUAAAUCACAUUAAGUAGAAAAUAGAAAGAUCAGAGAAAAACAAAAUGGAAUAAUUCCUAUGCUCCAAUUCUUCGUUUUCAUUUUUCAUUCCUCAAAUUUACUUCACAACCAAAGGAGUUACAGGGUCAUGUAGCUGGGAGCAAAAGAAGGAAGCAGAGAAGUGAGGUAUCAGUCGGAACCAACAGCAGAGCAACACCUGUUUUAGCAUAACAACUCAAACCAAAGAAGAUUGAUAUGAAAAAGUAGAAUAAACGGUCCCAAUCGAGUUGGGGAUAUGACAACUUCAAACCAAGCUUUGGAAAACCAGAUUUAAUGCAUUUCAGCUACCAGAAUCAGCAAUCAUUUUAGAAAUCAAAACUUCAAGAAAUCUCAUAAAAUAUUCAAUGGAACAGUAAUUAUUUGAACCAGUCAGCCGCCUCUUUUUUAGAAUUUUUUCUAUCUCUUUUAUUCCUGCCAUGAAAUGCAAGGAAAGAUGCCUUUAUAGACAAGGGAAUAGGGCAACAACAAAGGGACUAAUUUUGCAUUUUAGUCAUUUUGAAAAUUUUGUUUUAACUAACCAAUCCUUAGUUAAAAAGCUGAAAUUCAAUUUAAACCUUCAUCCAGCUUCCUAGAAGCUUCUCUCUCAUUUAUAAAAAGAUUCUCUAUCCCAAACUACUCAAAUUACCCCCUCCCCUAACCUUGUUUAUUACCCUAAACACCAGACCGUGUUAGCUGACCCAAGCUAAUGGGUAUACAGACCCAAAUUAAAUCCCUUUUGGGCCUUUUAAUUUUCAAAAAACUCCUUUCACAUUGAAAACCCAAGAUUCACAAGAUCAACCCAUAGAGUCUCAAAGACUCGUGGAAUUCGGGUUCAAAACAAAAACAAAAAUAUUUUCAAACUAAUAAUCCGAAGCUAUUACUAACUUCACAAGUCUGGGACUAACCAUGCAAGCAUAGAAAACAAAACGAAAAAUGGAAAAAGUAAAGGGCUAGAUAGACGAAGAUGAGAUGUAAGAAAAGAUGAACAUCGACGACCUAAGUAAAGGAAAAUACCAUUUCUGAAGACGAAGAAUCGAACUUGAAUGCAUUGUCCAGUCGAAGGCAAUUUGACCGGACCUCGACAAAUUCGAGAUGAAUCGAAACUCACAUUAAUCAACGGCUCUUGACAAAAGCCAUUAACUAAUUUUAAUUUCGACUCAAAGCAUACCAAAAUCAAUGGAAAGAAUUGAAGAAAUGAAAGCUUGACAAUUCCGGCUAUUUUAGAUUUGAAAUUUGAGGGAUUCCAUUGGGUGUUUUGGGAAACGGGGGAAGGGAUAUGAUUUAGAAAGGUAGGAGGUUGCCUGGAAUGAAUUUGGAGCGGUUUGGAAACUCGCCCCCGCCAUGAGGCGAUUUUCGACGGCGGAUGGUGGUGGCGAACGGUGUGAAGUGGCGAGAUGUUACGACGGUUCUUAUGUUUGAUAGUGGUUGUUUGGACAUUUUUAUGUG
rnacentral:lncRNA from 1 species